ACUCAAAAACUAAAACGACCAAAAUAACACCUUUCUAAGUUUAUCCUUUGAAAAUUUUAAUUUUUUUUAUUUUUCAAAAUUUGAAAUCUUAUCCCCAAAACCUCAUUUCUCAACUCUAAACCAUAAACCCUAAACUCUAAACCCUAAACCCUAAACCCUAAACCCUAAACCCUACACCCUAAACUCUAAACCCUAAACCCUAAAUCCUAAACCCC
rnacentral:lncRNA from 1 species